rnacentral:rRNA from 1 species
AUUGAACGCUGGCGGCAGGCCUAACACAUGCAAGUCGAACGGAUCCUUCGGGAUUAGUGGCGGACGGGUGAGUAACACGUGGGAACGUGCCCUUUGGUUCGGAACAACUCAGGGAAACUUGAGCUAAUACCGGAUGUGCCCUUCGGGGGAAAGAUUUAUCGCCAUUGGAGCGGCCCGCGUCUGAUUAGCUAGUUGGUGAGGUAAAGGCUCACCAAGGCGACGAUCAGUAGCUGGUCUGAGAGGAUGAUCAGCCACAUUGGGACUGAGACACGGCCCAAACUCCUACGGGAGGCAGCAGUGGGGAAUCUUGCGCAAUGGGCGAAAGCCUGACGCAGCCAUGCCGCGUGAAUGAUGAAGGUCUUAGGAUUGUAAAAUUCUUUCACCGGGGACGAUAAUGACGGUACCCGGAGAAGAAGCCCCGGCUAACUUCGUGCCAGCCGCCGCGGUAA